rnacentral:lncRNA from 1 species
GUAUCCACCUUAGUAUACGAAGUAUAAAGGCAAGCUACGUCUGGAAAUGUUUAUACUACUAUAGACUUGUAGAUGCGGGCUUAUGCUUGAAAUUAAGCUUGAAUAGAGAGAAGAAGGAAAAAGCUUAAAGUAGGCAUUAUAUUCUUUGAUUAAUUUAAGAUUAGCCCUUCAUUUUAUUACUGUAAUAUAUGCGUGUACACAACACAAACGCACAAUGCAAGCUGUUAAUUGUUAUUUUGGAAGGAAUCCUUUACAACAUUAAUAACUAGGGGAUAAUACAAGUAUAUACACAACUUCAAAUGUGUUUGUGUGUGUGUGUGUGUAUGUAUGUAUGUGCGCGCGCACACGUGUGUGACAAUCUUUCGAUAUAAGUGGGUAACGUCAUUCACGCACGUAGCGUUCCCUCAUGACAUAGUUAAAGACGAUAGGCUGAAAAAGAGAGUUAAUGACGUUGUCUACUAAUAAUGAAAGAUUGGCUAUAUGUAUGUAUGCAUAUAUCUCGAGUGUCUUUGUGUCUCUGUUUGUGCCCCCCCCCCCCCGUCCAUUACUACUUGACAGCCGGUGUUAUAGUGUUUACGUUCCUGUAAUCUAGUGGUUCAACAAAAACGACCGAUACAAUAAGUACUAGGGUCAAUUUGUUCAACUAAAACCCUUCAGGGUGGAGCUCCAUCAUGGUUGCAGUCAAAUGACAAACAACAGAAAAUAAAAGAAUAUAUGUAUGUGUACAUUUAUAUAUACAGGUAUAUAUGAAUAUAUGUCUGUGUGUGUGUUUAUGUUUAUGUACGUGUAUAUAAAUGAGUGUGUAUAUGUAUAUAUAUACACACAUAUAUAUAUAGAGAGAGAGAAAGAGGCGCAGGAGUGGCUGUGUGGUAAGUAGCUUGCUUACCAACCACAUGGUACUGGGUUCCGUCCCUCUGUGUGGCACCUUCUGCAAGUGUCUUCUACUAUAGCUCAGGCCGAUCAAAGCUUUGUGAGUGGAUUUGGUAGACGGAAACUGAAAGAAGCCCAUCGUAUAUAUAUAUAUAUAUAUAUAUAUAUGUAGUGUAUGUUUGACAACCGAUGCUGGAGUGUUCGUGUCCCUGUAACUUGACAGUUCGGCAAAAUAGACCGAUAGAAUUAGUACUAGGUUUACUGGGGUCAAUUUGCUCAACUAAAGGCAGUGCUCCAGCAUGGUUGCAGUCAAAUGACUGAAACAAGUAAAAGAAUCGAAGAAUAUAUAUAUAUAUAAUAUAUAUUAUAUAUCUCUCUAUAUAUAAACGGCAGUUUGUCUGUGCGUGUUUCUGUGUGUCUGUUUGCUUGUACCCUCACCCUGACCACGGCGUUCAACCGAUUCUGAUGAAACUUGACACACACCUCGCCCAAUGUCAUAAUUCAAAACUAACGCAGCGAAAAUUUUGAAAAGUUCCCCCAGUUCUGAAAAGAAUCGAUAAAUUCCACAUAGGGUCGAGAAUCAGAAACACGAACCACAAACUGUCUAGGGGACGCAACUCCACCUUUUUUAAAUCUCAAAAAAAAAUUUACCAUAAUUUUUUUCCAUUUUUUUGCUAUUUUUUGGCUAUAACUCUCUAAAAAUGCUUUAUAGUUAUUUCCCUUACAAACCUGAGCAACGCCGGGCGAUACUGCUAGUAUUAUAUAUAUAUAUCAUCAUCGUUUAGCGUCCGCUUUCCAUGCUAGCAUGGGUUAUAUAUAUAUAUAUAUAUGUGUAUAAAUAUCUAUGUGUUUGUAAAUAUACAUAUAUUAACAUAUAUAUUCUUUUAUUCUUUUAUUUGUUUCAGUCAGCUGAUGGUGGCAAUGCCGCAGCACCACCUUAUAAUCGAAGAAAGCAACACCACAACUUCUAUAUAAGCCUAGUACUUGUUCUACCGGCGUCUUUCACAAAACUGCGAAGUUCCAGGGAUGUAAACACAC